rnacentral:rRNA from 1 species
GAUGAACGCUGGCGGCGUGCCUAAUACAUGCAAGUCGAGCGAACGGACGAGAAGCUUGCUUCUCUGAUGUUAGCGGCGGACGGGUGAGUAACACGUGGAUAACCUACCUAUAAGACUGGGAUAACUUCGGGAAACCGGAGCUAAUACCGGAUAAUAUUUUGAACUGCAUGGUUCAAAAGUGAAAGACGGUCUUGCUGUCACUUAUAGAUGGAUCCGCGCUGCAUUAGCUAGUUGGUAAGGUAACGGCUUACCAAGGCAACGAUGCAUAGCCGACCUGAGAGGGUGAUCGGCCACACUGGAACUGAGACACGGUCCAGACUCCUACGGGAGGCAGCAGUAGGGAAUCUUCCGCAAUGGGCGAAAGCCUGACGGAGCAACGCCGCGUGAGUGAUGAAGGUCUUCGGAUCGUAAAACUCUGUUAUUAGGGAAGAACAUAUGUGUAAGUAACUGUGCACAUCUUGACGGUACCUAAUCAGAAAGCCACGGCUAACUACGUGCCAGCAGCCGCGGUAAUACGUAGGUGGCAAGCGUUAUCCGGAAUUAUUGGGCGUAAAGCGCGCGUAGGCGGUUUUUUAAGUCUGAUGUGAAAGCCCACGGCUCAACCGUGGAGGGUCAUUGGAAACUGGAAAACUUGAGUGCAGAAGAGGAAAGUGGAAUUCCAUGUGUAGCGGUGAAAUGCGCAGAGAUAUGGAGGAACACCAGUGGCGAAGGCGACUUUCUGGUCUGUAACUGACGCUGAUGUGCGAAAGCGUGGGGAUCAAACAGGAUUAGAUACCCUGGUAGUCCACGCCGUAAACGAUGAGUGCUAAGUGUUAGGGGGUUUCCGCCCCUUAGUGCUGCAGCUAACGCAUUAAGCACUCCGCCUGGGGAGUACGACCGCAAGGUUGAAACUCAAAGGAAUUGACGGGGACCCGCACAAGCGGUGGAGCAUGUGGUUUAAUUCGAAGCAACGCGAAGAACUUUACCAAAUCUUGACAUCCUUUGACAACUCUAGAGAUAGAGCUUUCCCCUUCGGGGGACAAAGUGACAGGUGGUGCAUGGUUGUCGUCAGCUCGUGUCGUGAGAUGUUGGGUUAAGUCCCGCAACGAGCGCAACCCUUAAGCUUAGUUGCCAUCAUUAAGUUGGGCACUCUAAGUUGACUGCCGGUGACAAACCGGAGGAAGGUGGGGAUGACGUCAAAUCAUCAUGCCCCUUAUGAUUUGGGCUACACACGUGCUACAAUGGACAAUACAAAGGGCAGCGAAACCGCGAGGUCAAGCAAAUCCCAUAAGGUUGUUCUCAGUUCGGAUUGUAGUCUGCAACUCGACUACAUGAAGCUGGAAUCGCUAGUAAUCGUAGAUCAGCAUGCUACGGUGAAUACGUUCCCGGGUCU